CACAUUGGCGCUCAGUGUAAGUGAAGAGUUCACCUGUUUUCAAAUGACCAGUCCAUAUUGACUAGAUUAGCUAUAGUCUAUGCACAAAGUCAUGGAGCAAACUUUAAACCAAACAUAAUGGAGCUGCUUUAUAUUUGCAAUAAAAGAAGAUGUAAUUAAAUACAAAAAUAACACUAAAGUCUCUAAAUGUGGAAAUAGUAUACGCCAAAAUCAUCAUCGAAAAUUUACAACUUUAUUUGUCCGAACUCACUCAAAAUUAACAAAUGAGGUAUUGAAAAGAGAACACAAAUGGGCAACGUUUGCUUAAAGUUGUGUAUUGGUUUGGCGCCUCCAAAGAAUCAAUGUAAGUGGCGACACAAAUAGAGGUGCGAGUGAACCUGCUGCUCGGCGUACUCAUGACUGGCUAGAUGUUUAGGAAUUGAUGUCCCUACCACUUUAAAAAGCAAAGUCAAAAUGAGCAUCUGGGAUCUCAGCUAAAGGCAAUGUAUGGGUCCCAUAAAAACAAAAUGUUCUAAUAUUCCCCCAAAGACAUAAAUAAGUAGAAAUCCUGCAUCCUGGAGAUGAAGAUUGAUAGGACCCUGGUGCCAAAGUGCAACUCCAAGUAAAAUCCCCAUGCAACUUUAUUUAGCUUGGGAAAAAAUGUAGCAUAACACUCUCCCACAGGGGCUGAAUGUAAAGACAGAGCAGCUCGUCCACAGUGCCUAUCUCUCGCUGGGAUUUUCAGGAAGGUCUCUAUGGUGCAGUUUGCAAGACAGUCAAGGGGAAGCUGAAAGAUUGCUUAGCAAGGAAUAAGCAAAGUUUCCAUUUUGAAAAUGAUAAAAAGCUAAAAUAAACAAUUGCAUAUAGUAAUGACACCAAAUGAUUUCCAGACUAAUUAAUACACUGGUAAAUGAUUCACAAAUUUUUUCUAGAUAUGAAGUUAGUAGACAGAUAGCAUCUGUUUAUAUAGUGUCAUGAAAUGAAAUAAAGUAUGGGAGGGAUCACUUACAGUAUGAUUUUUUUAAAG
rnacentral:lncRNA from 1 species